CCAGAGUCUCGGAGGUGACCAAGCUCGGGGUCCCCUGGUGGCUGGCACUGCUGUUAAUAGUUUCAGGGUCUCUGGCAGUUGAAUGUGAACACCAGCCUAAAAAACCUCUUGUGACUGCCUGCCUUGCGGCCAAUGUCAUCAAUGCCAUUGCUUCGGCCAUCGGAAUUCUCCUUUACAUCUCCGACGUGACCGAUUGGGAUUACUACCACCA